rnacentral:rRNA from 1 species
UACGAAGGGUGCAAGCGUUGUCCGGAAUUAUUGGGCGUAAAGAGCUCGUAGGCGGCUUGUCACGUCGGAUGUGAAAUCCCCGGGCUCAACCCGGGAACUGCAUCUGAAACUGCGGACCUUGAGUACUGGAGAGGGCGGCGGAAUUCCUGGUGUAGAGGUGAAAUUCGUAGAUAUCAGGAGGAACACCGGUGGCGAAGGCGGCCGCCUGGACAGUCACUGACGCUGAGACGCGAAAGCGUGGGGAGCAAACAGG